rnacentral:rRNA from 1 species
AUGAACGCUGGCGGCGUGCCUAAUACAUGCAAGUCGCGCGAACGGUCGAGAAGCUUGCUUCUCUGAUGUUAGCGGCGGACGGGUGAGUAACACGUGGAUAACCUACCUAUAAGACUGGGAUAACUUCGGGAAACCGUAGCUAAUACCGGAUAAUAUUUUGAACCGCAUGGUUCAAAAGUGAAAGACGGUCUUGCUGUCACUUAUAGAUGGAUCCGCGCUGCAUUAGCUAGUUGGUAAGGUAACGGCUUACCAAGGCAACGAUGCAUAGCCGACCUGAGAGGGUGAUCGGCCACACUGGAACUGAGACACGGUCCAGACUCCUACGGGAGGCAGCAGUAGGGAAUCUUCCGCAAUGGGCGAAAGCCUGACGGAGCAACGCCGCGUGAGUGAUGAAGGUCUUCGGAUCGUAAAACUCUGUUAUUAGGGAAGAACAUAUGUGUAAGUAACUGUGCACAUCUUGACGGUACCUAAUCAGAAAGCCACGGCUAACUACGUG